AGCGAACGCUGGCGGCAGGCCUAACACAUGCAAGUCGAACGAACCUUUCGGGGUUAUUGGCGGACGGGUGAGUAACACGUGGGAACGUGCCUUUAGGUUCGGAAUAACUCAGGGAAACUUGUGCUAAUACCGAAUGUGCCCUUCGGGGGAAAGAUUUAUCGCCUUUAGAGCGGCCCGCGUCUGAUUAGCUAGUUGGUUGAGGUAAUGGCUCACCAAGGCGACGAUCAGUAGCUGGUCUGAGAGGAUGAUCAGCCACAUUGGGACUGAGACACGGCCCAAACUCCUACGUGAGGCAGCAGUGGGGAAUCUUGCGCAAUGGGCGAAAGCAUGACGCAGCCAUGCCGGGUGAAUGAUGAAGGUCUUAGGAUUGUAAAAUUCUUUCACCGGGGACGAUAAUGACGGUACCCGGAGAAGAAGCCCCGGCUAACUUCGUG
rnacentral:rRNA from 1 species